UUUGAUCAUGGCUCAGAUUGAACGCUGGCGGGAUGCUUUACACAUGCAAGUCGAAUGCGCACGGACUUCUCGGUCCGCUGGCGGCGAGUGGCGAACGGGUGAGUACGUAUCGGAAUCGUGCUCUAGAGAAGGACAACUGCCGAAGCGUAUAAUACUGCAUACGCCCUUCGGGGAAAGCGGGGACCUUCGGGCUUUGUACUAUUAGGAGCGGCCGAUAUCGGAUUAGCUAGUUGGUGGGGUAACGCUCACCAAGGCGACGAUCCAUUGAAGUUUGAGAGGACGAACUGAGCCACCACUGGACCUGGAGACACGGCCCAGACUCCUACGGAAAGGCAGUGGGGAAUUUUGACAAUGGGGAAACCCUGAUCCAGCCAUCCCGCGUGCGAUGAAGGCCUUCGCUAGAAGCACUUUGGCAGAAGAAACGGCACGGAUAAUACCCCCGUGCAACUGACGGUAACGAAUAAGCACCGGCUAACUACGCCCGCAGCCAGUAAUACGUAGGGUGCAAGUUAAUCGGAAUUACUGGGCGUAAAAGCGUGCGCAGGCGGUUCGGAAAGAAAGAGAUAAACCGGAGCUCGGCAACUUUGGAACUGCAUUUAACUACCGAGCCAGAGGUGUCGAGAGGUGCAAUCCUGCUGUAGCAGUGAAAUGCGCAGAUAUGCGGAGGACUGAUGGCGAAGGCAGCCUCUGGGAUAACACUGACGCUCAAGUAACAAAGCGUGGGAGCAACAGGAUUAGAUAACCGGGUAGUCCACGCCCUAAACGAUGUCAACUAGCUGUUGGGGCCUUCGGGCUCAGGUGAAUAAUCGCGCUUGACCGCCUGGGGAGUACGGUCGCAAGAUUAAACCCUUGGAAUUGACGGGACCCGCACAAGCGGUAUGAUGUGGAUUAAUUCGAGACGCAACGCGAAAAACCUUACCUACCCUUGACAUGUCUGGAAUCCUGGAAGAGACGUUGGGAGUGCUCGCAGAACGAACACAGGUGCUGCAUGGCUGUCGUCAGCUCGUGUCGUGAGAUGUUGGGUUAAGUCCCGCAACGAGCGCAACCUCUUGUCAUUAGUUGCUACGAAAGGGCACUCUAAUGAGAUUCGCCGGUGACAAACCGGAGGAAGGUGGGGAUGACGUCAAGUCCUCAUGGCCCUUGCGGGCAGGGCUUCACGCCGCGCAUGGCUGGCCGGGACAGAGGGUCGCCAACCCGCGAGGGGAGCCAAUCCCAGAAACCCGAUCGUAGUCCGGAUUCAGUCUGCAACUCGACUGCGUGUAGUUUGGAAUCGCUAGUAAUCGCGGAUCACAUUAGCUGCGGUGAAUACGUUCCCGGGUCUUGUACACACCGCCCGUCGUCACACCAUGGAGCGGUUUCACCAGAAGGAAGAGCUCGAACCGUAAGGAGGGCGAUUACCACGGUAGUAGGAUUCAUGUGAUCAGGUGAAUCAACAAGGUAA
rnacentral:rRNA from 1 species